UCCUUCCUGGUGUAGUGGUUAACACCUUCUCCUUCUAGAUUGAAAAGUGGUGAAAAGUUAGCAGGUCUGGUGUUCGAAUCCCCUGGGUGGAU